CAUCUCACAGGGUGCGCAUGGGGAACGGAAGGGGUGUUUUGCCCUGACACAGGAACAAGAGCAAGUUUUGAGGACCUGAAUAUAAGCUGUGGAAGCUGCCUCAAUGUAAGGAAAAGGAAAGAAGAAAAUCCCAAAAGUGACUGUUUCUUCUGUUGGAAGAAUUCCACUUGGAAAUGCCAACUUCCGGAACCAAUAAAAACGCUGUAAGAACUCCUGACAGG